rnacentral:rRNA from 1 species
GACGAACGCUGGCGGCGUGCUUAACACAUGCAAGUCGAACGGAAAGGCCCUGCUUUUGUGGGGUGCUCGAGUGGCGAACGGGUGAGUAACACGUGAGUAACCUGCCCUUGACUUUGGGAUAACUUCAGGAAACUGGGGCUAAUACCGGAUAGGAGCUCCUGCUGCAUGGUGGGGGUUGGAAAGUUUCGGCGGUUGGGGAUGGACUCGCGGCUUAUCAGCUUGUUGGUGGGGUAGUGGCUUACCAAGGCGUUGACGGGUAGCCGGCCUGAGAGGGUGACCGGCCACAUUGGGACUGAGAUACGGCCCAGACUCCUACGGGAGGCAGCAGUGGAGAAGAUUGCACAAUGGGCGGAAGCCUAAUGCAGCAACGCCGCGUGCGGGAUGACGGCCUGCGGGUUGUAAACCGCUUUCGCCUGUGACGAAGCGUGAAUGACGGUAAUGGGUAAAGAAGCACCGGCUAACUACGUG